CAAGAACGAUAACAAUCGAAAAGGAACUACUAACGACUAGAUUAGGGAAACUCAGUAAAACCCUGAAUUUGAAAAUUAGGGAUUUCGAAACACAGUUUGGGGGAGGUUUCAAUCUGCAGCAAUCCGACGACCUUUUCUACAGAUCGACUGCUCACCAUCGAAGGAGGGGAGCGAUUGAAGUUGGAGAAACUAUGCGAGAAAUUAAUUGAUGAAUAUGAAUCAGAAAGAGAUAUAUACCUUCCCCAUUGAAGGGUCUCCUUAAAGAAUAUUGUUGAGAAGAUGGCAGUCAAAAAAAGUGCUGUUGGACUGAACAUUGCUGUGAAUACAGGACCUUUUUUCUCCACAGCCCAAACUUGCAAACAGUGUGCGUGCAAUGAAUGAAGAAAAGAAUUAGAGAAGAAAUGCACUGAGUUGUAAAAGAUUACAGUGCAGAACCGAAAUGUUUUUGGUGAAGGCAGUGAACUCUCUUAUGUGUGUGUAUGUGUGUGUGUGUUGACUGAUUGAAGAUGUAGUAUGCAGAGAAGAAUAGAAGAGAGGAGACAGAGAGUUGAGGAAAAAGAGAGUGAAGUUAGUGAAGGUCAAGUGUAUUUCUUUUAUAAAAGUGUGUUUUUUUUUCCUUUCAAGUGAGUGCGAAAUACCUCUUGGUAAUCUUUUGAGAUUUGUAAUCCUCUUAUUUGAAAUAAAGGUUAGUCGUUCUUCGUUGGUGGACGUAGACAAUUUGCC